CGGUGCCGGAGUGAAGAUGUUAAGUUCACUGCCUGGGGAGUACGGUCGCAAGGCUGAAACUUAAAGGAAUUGGCGGGGGAGCACUGCAACGGGAGGAGCGUGCGGUUUAAUUGGAUUCAACGCCGGAAAACUCACCAGGGCCGACUGUUAUAUGAAGACCAGCGUAAUGAGCUUGUCGGAUUUUCAGAGAGGUGGUGCAUGGCCGUCGUCAGUUCGUACUGUAAAGCGUUCUGUUAAGUCAGAUAACGAACGAGACCCUCAUCUCUAUUUGCUACCCGUCUCUCCGGAGGCGGCGCACUAUAGGGAGACCGCUGGUGUUAAACCAGAGGAAGGCGAGGGCAACGACAGGUCAGUAUGCCCCGAAUGUCCUGGGCUACACGCGCGCUACAAAGGACGGGACAAUGGGAAGCCAGGCCGAGAGGCCGAGCUACCCCGAAACCCGUUCAUAGUUCGGAUCGUGGGCUGUAACUCGCCCACGUGAAGCUGGAUUCCGUAGUAAUCGUGUUUCAAUAUAGCACGGUGAAUAUGCCCCUGCUCCUUGCACACACCGCCCGUCAAACCAUCUUAGUUGGGGGUGGGUGAGGCUGCGCUUACUUCGGUAUGGCGUAUUCGAGCCUGCCUUCGACAAGGAGGGUUUGACGGGCGGUGUGUGCAAGG
rnacentral:rRNA from 1 species